UACGGGGGGGGCAAGCGUUGUUCGGAAUUACUGGGCGUAAAGGGCUCGUAGGCGGCCAACUAAGUCCGACGUGAAAUCCCAAGGCUUAACCUUGGAACUGCGUCGGAUACUGGAUGGCUUGAAUUCGGGAGAGGGAUGCGGAAUUCCAGGUGUAGCGGUGAAAUGCGUAGAUAUCUGGAGGAACACCGGUGGCUAAGGCGGCUCUCUAGUACGGUACUGACGCUGAGACGCGAAAGCGUGGGGGAGCGAAACAGGG
rnacentral:rRNA from 1 species